UGUAGUGGGUUGGCAGCACCUCCGUCUUAUUCAUCGGUCAGCUCUUUUAUCAACGGCCAUGGUCGGUCAUGUUGUAUUAAAAGUAAUAUUUUAAAGUGGCCUUUUCUAUACAAGAAAAGGAGUGCUAUUCAUUGUAUGUAAAUUAAGUCAAUUUUUUUGCAGUAAUAUUUGUUACGUUGUACAUCAAUCGUUUUUCUGCAAUAUCAAGUUCUGACAAGGUGUUUCAGCAAGAAAGUUUUCAAUUUCAUUAAGACAACCUAACAAUUCUUCGGAAUUUUCAACAGAGUAUAAUACUUUCCGAAUUUCCGAUAGGUGUUGCAAACUAGCAGUAAUUGUAGGAAUAGAUACUGGAAAGUCUUGAUCUUCUUCUUCUUGAUCGUCGUCUUCUUUCUCAUUCUCCACUAAGUUCGUAUCAGCGAUUAUUUCAUCCAAAGUCCGAGUGCUACUGGUUACGAGUUCAUCAUCUAUUGUUGCGCAAUCAGCAAAAUUUUGCAGAAGUUGAAAGUCCUCUUCUUUUAAAGGGUGAGCCGGACAGUUGUCGACGAAUAGAAUAAUUUUCUCUUUUGUUUACCGAAAAGUGCAUCUAGCUGUUGAAUCCAGUUCAUGAAUAGUGUUCCUGUCAUCUAAGCACGAUUUUGAGCAAGGUAUUCACAUGGGAACGUACGAACAUUUUUGAAACAGCGAGGAGACCUACUUUUUCCAAAGACGACCAACUUCAAUUUAUGGGUGCCGGUAGAAUUUGUACAUACUAAAACCGUGAGACGUUCCUUGCUCAACUUUCCACCAUGGCAUGUCUCAUUUUUAAAAACUAAAGGCUUAUCUGGCAUAAGCUUAAAAAAUAAUCCGAAUUCAUCAGCGUUGUAUACAUCGUCAGGAACAUAAUCACGCAGUAAUGAAGGCAACACGUUAUUUUUCCAUAAAGCUAUAUCAUCAUUAUUAAUAGAUUCAGCCUCACCUGAAAUUUGCCGGUACACAAUGCCAUGCCUACUCCGAAAUCUAUCCAGCCAAACAGUCGAUCGACUAAAUUCGGUUAAGUUAAGUCGUGCGGCAAUCUCCAUUGCCUUUUCCGUGAUUACACCUCCAUUUAUUGGAUAAUUUAAACGCGAGCUUGUUGAAACUACUCCAAUAAAACAUUUUCCAACUUUUCAUACUUCCCGUGUUUUAAUUUUUGUCGUUUGCUGCCACCUAACAUGCUACUUUGUUCUAUUUCAUGUCUGUUUUUCAAUAAAGUUCUUAAAGUAGAAGGAGGUAUCCCCAGUUCAUUAGCAAUAUCCUUUUGUUUUCUUUUGUCAACCAAUCCUUCAUCGUACUUCUUCAAAAUGUUAAGUUUGUCCGAAAUCGAUAACGCUUUACGUUUUAUACCACUAGCCAUAACGAAAUGACGGUUAUACACAUGCAAACGAACAGCACUUACUAAAUCUCAUAAUACGAUGAAAUACAGUAAAACUGUUAUAAUAAGUAAUGAUAAAAUAGGUAUAGCGAUAAAAUAAAAUGAUAAGAACACGUAUAAUACUAACAAUUCUAUUUUUAUUUCACAAAACUACUAAAAUUUAUCGUAAUAUGCUGAACAAAAGAGCGUUUUACCCGAUUAGACAGAGAAAAACUGAGCGUCUUAACAGGUGGUUUUUACAUUGACUAGUAUAGGAAAUGUCUAAAGACCUACAAAAAACAGCGUCUUAUGCGAGAAAGCGUCUUAAGCGAGAGCGUCUAAAGCGAGUUUUACUGUAUUUAUAAAAAAAAAUUGAAUUGACCCACACAUUUUUAAAAAAAAUAUAGCAAUUUCAAGUUAAAAAAAUAAAAUC